rnacentral:rRNA from 1 species
UUGGUGGUCAAGCUACUAAGGGCGCACGGUGAAUGCCUUGGCGUCAGGAGGCGAUGAAGGACGUGGUUAGCUGCGAAAAGCUUCGGGGAGUCGCAAGCAGGCGUCGAUCCGGAGAUGUCCGAAUGGGGAAACCCGGCGGGAGUCAUAUCCCGUCAUCUUCCGGCUGAAUACAUAGGCCGGCGGAAGCCAACGGGGGGAAUUGAAACAUCUCAGUACCCCUAGGAACAGAAAUCAAAUAGAGAUUCCCGUAGUAGUGGCGAGCGAACCGGGAAUAGCCCAAACCGUUGCACUUCGGUGUAACGGGGUUGUAGGGCCGGCGACAUGGGAGGCGAGGUUUUAGUCGAACAGUCUGGAAAGUCUGGCCAUAGAGGGUGACAGCCCCUUAGGCGAAAAGACCAGACCCCCUAGCCGGUUCCUGAGUACCACGGGGCUCGAGUAACCCUGUGGGAACCUGGGAGGACCAUCUUCCAAGGCUAAAUACUACCUGACGACCGAUAGUGAACCAGUACCAUAUAGUGAACCAGUACCGUGAGGGAAAGGCGAAAAGAACCCCUGCUAGGGGAGUGAAAAGACCCUGAAACCGUGUGUCUACAAGCCGUGGAAGCGCUAUGGCCUUCGGGCAAUGCGCGACCGCGUACCUUUUGCAUAAUGGGCCUGCGAGUUAUUGUUGGUGGCAAGGUUAAGCCGUUAGGCGUAGCCGUAGCGAAAGCGAGUCCGAAAUGGGCGUCCAGUCGCCAGAAAUAGACCCGAAACCGAGUGAUCUACCCAUGUCCAGGAUGAAGCGAAGGUAAUACUUCGUGGAGGUCCGAACCCACUACAGUUGAAAAUGUAGGGGAUGAGGUGUGGGUAGGAGUGAAAGGCUAAUCAAACCCGGUGAUAGCUGGUUCUCGCCGAAACCUAUUUAGGUAGGUCCUCAGGAAACUCUGUGUCGGAGGUAGAGCACUAGAUGGGCUAGGGGUCCUACCAGACUACCAAACCCAACGAAACUCCGAAUGCCGACAUAUCUAUCCUGGGAGCCAGGCAGUGGGAGCUAAGUUCCAUUGCCGAGAGGGAAAGAGCCCAGAUCGCCAGCUAAGGUCCCCAAGUUCAUGCUAAGUGGCAAAGGAUGUGGGAGCUCAUUGACAACCAGGAGGUUGGCUUAGAAGCAGCCAUCCUUUAAAGAAAGCGUAAUAGCUCACUGGUCAAGAGAGCCUGCGCCAAAAAUGUAACGGGGCUUAAGCAUGACACCGAAGCUGCGGAUUCAGUCAAUCUUCGGAUUGAUUGAGUGGUAGGCGAGCAUUCCAAGGGCGGUGAAGGCAGACCGUAAGGACUGUUGGAGCGCUUGGAAGAGAUAAUGCAGGCUUGAGUAGCGAUAAAACGAGUGAAAAACUCGUUCGCCGUAAGCCCAAGGGUUCCUGGGUAAAGUUAAUCUUCCCAGGGUUAGUCGGAUCCUAAGGCGAGGCUGAAAGGCGUAGCUGAUGGUAAGCAGGUUAAUAUUCCUGCACCACCACGGAUGGUUUUCGUAGGGGGGACGGAGAAAG